GUGAGGAAUAUUGGACAAUGGGCGCAAGCCUGAUCCAGCCAUGCCGCGUGCAGGAAGACGCAUCUAUGGUGUGUAAACUGCUUUUGUACGGGAAGAAACACUCCCUCGUGAGGGAGCUUGACGGUACCGUAAGAAUAAGGAUCGGCUAACUCCGUGCCAGCAGCCGCGGUAAUACGGAGGAUCCAAGCGUUAUCCGGAAUCAUUGGGUUUAAAGGGUCCGUAGGCGGUUUAAUAAGUCAGUGGUGAAAGCCCAUCGCUCAACGAUGGAACGGCCAUUGAUACUGUUAGACUUGAAUUACAAGGAAGUAACUAGAAUAUGUAGUGUAGCGGUGAAAUGCUUAGAUAUUACAUGGAAUACCAAUUGCGAAGGCAGGUUACUACUUGUGGAUUGACGCUGAUGGACGAAAGCGUGGGGAGCGAACAGGAUUAGAAACCCUUGUAGUC
rnacentral:rRNA from 1 species